GGACGCGUAGCAUAACUGGAUAGUGCACCUCGUUACGGCCGAGGAGGUUGGGGGUUCGAAUCCCUCCGUGUUCACAA
rnacentral:tRNA from 1 species